rnacentral:lncRNA from 1 species
CCAGAGCCCUCAGUAUACAGACCUUGGCCAUCAGUAUGCAUACUCUCUGGUGUGGUUUCUGGGCCUCAGAUCCUCUAUAUAUUGUUAUUUAGAGAAACUAGGCAUUCCCUACCUCUCUUAGGCAAACCUAUAGCUAUGUAACAUGGCAACGGAAUGACACUAACUGUCUCAUUCUCCUUGGGAGUGCUCUCUGUAUGUUCAGUCUCCCAGUGAAGAGAAUCCUUCUAUCAGGACCUUCAUCAUCAUACAAAAGGAAUAUCUAUGCCAGGCCACAGCUUCAGAUUAGUGAGUGUCUGAGAACUGCAUCUUUUCUGUUAUUUUUCUGCUUGAAAGUUUUUCACCAAUAAAUCCUACA